AUUCCCCCUUCUGAUAAAGAGCAGCAGAUACACUACUAGUCUUUUCAGAAACAUCCAGGAAAAACAUUCUGUUGUAGUCAGGAAUAGCCAAUGCGGCAGCUGUGGACAUGUGCUGUUUGAGGUUUACAAAAGAGUUUUCCGCUUCAGAGGUCCAAGUGAGGAUAUGUGACAAAUUUCACAUGCGAGGGCCUUCAUUGGUGAUAGGCAUCUUCUGUGCUCUGUCUUUAAGGGUUAUGAUAACCCGCGGCUUAUGUUCCAGUGGCUGAUGGGAGUCAAAGGGUAGGUACUGGUCUGUGUUGUAAGGUUUUCUGUAGAACUUAAUAUUGAGGCUUCCCUCCUGCCCUGCGUACAGUUCGCAGUCCAAGAAUGUCAAUCUGUUCUCUUUAUUGUCUUCCAGAGUGAAACUGAUGUUGCUGUCCACAGAGUUAAUGCGUUCAGUAAACCUUUCUACUUUUCAGGCUUUGAUCUUAAUACAUGUCAUUCACAUACCUGAAAUAGUGGCUGGGCUUCGUUCCUCUCGGGUCCAGUGUUUUUCUUUCCACUUUUUCCAUGUACGUAUGUAUUCGCCACAGGGGAGAGGAAAAGUGACCCAAUGGCAUAGCCAUAGGUAUGGCUUACUAAAAUUUGCUAAAUUGAAAGUAAGUGGUGCUAAGGCCAACUUGAAAUCGGUUACCUCCCUGGUCAGGAGUGAGAUUGGUUCUGUCCUGUAGACUAGAGUAGUAAUUCCCUGAUUGCAGCAAAAGCGGAAGCGAUGCAUGCGAACAGGGAGGUGAGGUCGCAUGACACCACAGUUACGUCUGUAGCAAAUCGCAGUUUCCGGACCUUGUUGGUGAAGUCUGUGGAGUUGUAGAUGUGGUGUGGGGUAUUUCCAUUCAAUGGGGGUUUAAUGGUGGCUGUUCUGGCAUAAAAGGGAUACAGAUCCUGCUUUCUGCUUGACCUAACAGCCGAACAGGACCAAAAAAAAGAAAUAAAAGUGAUGCAAAAUGAUCAUUCACCAGCCACACCGGGCAACAACAGCCCUCGUAUGACCACCCCUAGUGUACACACCCACAAGAGUCAUACAGGUAGAUAGGGGGACUCCACACCUAAAUAUUAGAAUGGAACAAGCCUUUAGGGUUAAAAGUAAAAUGUCUUCAACAAGCAAGAGGUCAGUUGCCUCUUUUCAACUUUUGCAAAUGAUUGACCUUAAGUUUCACACUGAGAUCCCGCAGAAUUGUUGCAUCAGAGCCGUAAGAGCAGAUCUUGCAUUUAUCCACUUGUGCUUUUUAUACAGAACCCAUGGUGUGACGUAUAAAAUAUUUGCCAGACAGUGAUGAUUGCUUUCAACACAACAUAGCAGGAGAAGUAUCGAGUGUUAAACUUCUUGCCGACUUUCCGCUAUUCCCUUUCACACAGCCGUCACUCCACCUCUGAUAUGUCUGUCUAGAUUCUCAGUCAUCCGGCUCAUGGUAAUCCGCAAACCUCUGAUAACACUUUGGAAGCCAGGAAAUUCUUUGGUCACCUUCUUCGCACUGCUGUGCGCAUGCAUCCCUUUCACACAGAUCAACAAAAUGCAGAAAAAGCCGGCUUUGGCAGGUAGUGUUAAAGAGGCUAGCGAUUCCAGAUGUUCGUGUCUGGUGUGACGUGAAAAAUGUAGUGGCUAGCGACAACUGCUUUCAACAUAACGUGGUGGGAGAAGGGAGGGCCAAGUGUUAAACUUAACACCCCCGUGUAUCCUUACACACACGAAGCCUUUGCCUCUGAUACCACUUUGAUACGACUGUACCUUAAUUAAAAUCUAUCUGAGUUUAACACCAAAGCCAGUUAGCGGCUCAUUAGAGGCGGCUAACAUUUAGCGAGGGCCGCUCAAAUAUUGCACUAUGUUUAUUUUUAGGCCGUCCAGGUCCAGUUGCAGCCGAUGAGGAUGAUGAGCGUCUAAAAAAGAACUUCAUCCAUCAGCGCGCCUGAUAGAUAGAUGUUUUUGUCCACUUCCCGUUGUCAUGCCAGGAGACCUUGAAAGGGCAGCACUCAUGUUUACAUGUCCAUAUGGUAUUAAUAAUGUUAUUAAUAGUUCAACUCUUCAAGUCGCUUUUGGCCUCACGUUGACGCUGUUGCGACUCUCUAAAGGUUGUUUCACUUGCUGUCUUAAUUGAAAAGGUCUUACUCUGAAUAUUAGGUACACACAAGCACUGUUGUAUCGUGUUGUGUGUUGGUUUAAACGUGUUGUGUGUCCUUUUAAGGGGAAGAAAUGAUGCUUUGUGUUAUUUCCCUUUGGUAAUUUUGACCACACUAUUUAAAUGCUGACUUAAACUUUGUUUACAUUUGGGAUUCAGGGGAGAAGCAUGACCGGACGUGGGUGUUAUACUAUCUGAAUUGUGUAUUAUUUGUUACUGUAAAAUCCAGAAUUAAAUGCUUGUGAUGGGUAGAAAAGGGGAAAGUUUCUUCCCGUUUUGGGAUGUAUAAAGGUCGCCCGCCGUCUGGUGCCCACCAUCUCAAACUGCAACACAAGCCUCCUCUCUUGUGUUCUGAAGAUUCAACUAAUAUCACAGAGGAAGAAAAAUCUCCCCAAAGUGCUGAACAUGAAAUAAACAUUUAUAUUUUUUAUGGUAUUAAUUUGGAGCGCUACAAACGUGGUAUGUGACAUAAGAGCAAUCUCCUGUUUUUUUUUAACACUUCUGUACUCUGGGCUAUACUGUGGUAAGGCAUAUUUUCUUGCAAAGAAAAACAUCUCAGUAUAAAACAUUUUUUUUUUAAAAACAUAAAUGCAGGAACUUGUGGAAAUUCCUGGCUGUGUCCUACAUGUGACACCAAUCGCCUAAAUCUUUACAUCUGGGCUGUAAGGUAACAAGCAAAACACAAGAUGCAUUUCCUUGCAAAGAAAAACAUCACAUCCUGAAAUAGAAAAAAGCAACUUCAGACGUUUAUGGCAAGAACUCACUGUGUGGAAGCUAUAGGGUGGCAAGAGGUAUUUUCUUGCUAAGAAAAACAUCAUGCCAGUCCAAAAAAGAAGAAUGAGCAGAAGAAAACUGUGGCAUGUACUGGCUCUUGUCCUACAUGUAACAGCAAUCUCCUGUUUUUUGUUUUAUAUAUAUAUAUAUAUAUAUAUAUAUACACACACACACACACACACAUAUUUUCUUAGGAAGAAAAGCAUCUUAACCCAAAAACAAAAAUGAUGCUGUCAGAACAUCUGGCAAGUACUGGGUGUGUCAUAGAAAUCUCCCGUAUUCUUUAUACAUCUGUGCUAUGGGGGCUACAGGGUAGCCUGACCCUUCUUGUGAAGAACACCACCAGUCCGAUAAAGAAAAAGUAUCUGCAGCAGCUUGUGACAAUGACUUGAAUCUCCAGUAUGCCCCCUCCCACCCCCCAAAAAAAAUAACUUGCCAUUGAACUUUUGUACGUUUUCCACACGGUUGGUUAUUAGAGCUUUAGCGAUUUAAAAAAAUAUAUAUAUUGCAAAAACAAACAAACAAAAAAUCCAGAUGAGGUAACAGCAGUCUCUUAUUUUCUUGCAUGCUUAAAACAGGUAAUUUGACAAAUAAGCAACAGGUAUUAACUCAGAUGUAUAUUAAUUGUAAUGCCUCAAGGGAAAUGUACUCGUUUGACUUUUUUUGUUAGCAGCUCCGCCCUCUUGUUUGCAUCCGCACAAGUGAAAGUGUGACUACUCUCCUCCUCACUCCUGCACAUUGUCCCCAUUUUUCAUGCACAGAUUUCAGCAUUUAGAUUAAUUAUUUUGUUUUGUGUGUGUGUGUCUUUGCAUGCCCAUCAUGCGCUGUUUUCUGUGUGGAUUAUGUGCUCUAACGGUGCUCAACGUGUCAGCACCAACAGAUGGUAUUAUCAAGUCGGCUCCACAACUGGAAUCCUCGGCCACUGUGAGCCGCGAACUCGCCAUCACCCAGAAGCCGCGCUUCUAUGGCGUGAGGCCCGGCCGGUUCGUCACAUUCUACUGCGCGACCUCCCACCAGCACCUGCCGGUCGAAGCGCACUGGUACAAGGCCGCCCGAUACAACCAGGACGCCGCUCAGAGACGCCUGCUGGAAGGCGUCGUGACUCGCGACAAAGAUGUCACACUCAAUGCCUUCCUCAUCCUGUACGAUUUGAGCCCCGAAGACAGCGGCGUCUACUUCUGCCGCAUCAACGAAACGUGGGGGCCCGGCACGCAACUCCAAGUGGCCAGGCCCGUCAACCGAGCACAGGCGGUGCACCGCAGCAACAUGAAGGACGCCCUCUUGCUCCUUCAAGGUCUGAUGCUGGCCGUCAUCGUGGCGCUUUUACUUCAACGCAAUCGCAAAAUGUUGAAAUUGAAAAGGAGAGAGAGCAUCUACGAGGAGCCCGAACUCGAGCACAUCUACGAGGGCCUGACCAUCGAGGGGUACGAAGGAGGGGACUUGUACGAGGAGCUGGCGGUGUACGCAGAGGCCGGUGAUGGCGCCGAGGCCCCGUGGGAGUGACGUCACACCGACGAUUGUUGUGUGUGCACUAUCCUCCAUGGCCAUGCUAUCGCUUUUAGGCGUACGGUUGCCAGGGAAGACCACCGGGCU